UUUCUUCUAAUUUCUAAAAUUGAAACAAUUACUAUGAUCUACAAAAUUUGAAGAACAACUAUGAAUCAAUAAUUUACUGCUAUAAUCAACAAAGGAUAAAUUAACUUCAUCUGACACAUGCUGAAUAAUCUACAUAAAUAUGAUUGCAAGUCAUGGCAAGUAUUCGUAAGUGAUUUGAGAAAGUCCAUGCAUGGGAGCAGGACAAAGAGAAAUAAUCUGAUCAUCCCUAAGAGGUUUCAAGGAAGCAUAGACUGAGAAGCCUAGAAGUUCACCUGUUUUUAUGGGCAGUAAGAAGAAAGAUGGCUUGAUGGUGCCAAUUACCCAGCUACCUGUCCACUGAUCAGGGAGCUUAACAUAAGCUCUGUGUCCACAUAUCCAGUAUAACCUGGUGGGUACUGUCCAGUCCCAGUGGAAUUCUGGGUGGGCCCAAACAGUCUGCAACUUUGGAAAUUUACUUCUGUGUAAUUGGAACUUCACCAUGUAACUUUUUGUAGUACCAUUAUACAGCUUUUGCUCAAGACAACUAAGCCGCGCUACAGGAUGAGUGAAUCUUUUUCCUUUUCUAGCUAUGCAAUACUGUCCAAUAAUUGAGACUUUUAGAAUCUAAAAAUUGUCAGGCU
rnacentral:lncRNA from 1 species